GGAACCAAGGCAUAAAGAGGUUAAGCGAGUUGUCCAAGGUCACAGAGCCGGGAGGUUGAUAAAGUAGGAAUGGAAUUAAUCUUCCAUCUCCAGUGAUUGAUGCACAGGAAGCUGGCCUGACUUCUAACCAUGGAAGCAGACUGUGAAAAGUGGCAGAUAUUCUACCCUGGGACAUGAACAGGAAGUUUGAGAAGUGACAGGGAAUGGGCACAGGCUGACUGUGCUGGGAAGAAAGAGCCCAUCAGGAGCAAACCGUAUGUCCUGUGAACCCAGGGAUCUGCCAGCAAAAUUCCCUGAUGCUAGAACUCUGGUUAGAGAACCACCCAGAGAAAUGGAAGAAACUACUCACAGCCAAGAAUUAGAGAACCAAAGAUUUGAGCCACCUGUAGCUCUGGUAAUGCCACUUUAGGAAGUUCUGGGUUAACAUCUGUUGAGGCACAUGAGAAUGUGCAUGGUCUCUGUGGCAGACUCUGGGUGACCAGCGACGGACAAACCCCAAGGCACCUCGUAAUACCGUGAGUUACAAGAGCAGCCAGGCUGCUGACACAUGAAGAAUGCAGAGCGCCUGGCAAAUUAAGCGCCGGCAUUUGGAAACCGAAGGCUCGAGAUCUCUUGUCAGGAGCCUCCAAGGCGAAUCCCUCCAGCAACUACUGCCUCUCUGGCGCCACCAUCUGGUAUCCGCUGGGCGGUUUGCUGUCACCAGAACUUGUCAAAACUGGAAAAAAAAUUUUUUUUUCAAUAGAUUUUUACUUUAUUGGGAAAUUGAAGACUUGGAUACAUUAAAUGAAAUCCACUUCUAGGGGAGAAAAAUUUAAAAAUCACAACAGAAAAAAUGCUAACACCCUCCAGGCCAUAGCAGAACCCAGAGAAUACAUUCAUCCAAUCGAAAAAUUCUAGGCACUUCAUAAUUGACCUUUUGAUACAAAAUGAUCUAUUAAAUUUGCAAGUCGUGGUUCUGGGUGUUGAGGUUUAUAGGACAAGCUUCAAACCUUGAGCUGAUUCCAUGAGGAGUUGUCUUUUGAAUCAGGUUUUCCUUGUUUAAGAGGGCACAGCAGCACCAGCACCCACCUUCUGGCCGCUUCUUUCUUGGCCUGGUGAGCCUGCACCGCGGCGCCAUCCACCCUGGAGCCGGCAACCACCGCAGGUGCAGCAGCUUGCAGUUGCCAAUCUCCAGCAACAUUCCCUGAAUCUUUCCAGCCAGCUUUGAAUACGAUGUUUGGGUAAGUGGGAGCAAACUUUCUCCCAGCAUCUGCUUCUGGUUUCUGCAACCAGCAUGGAGGUGUUGAGGGGGUGGGGGUCCUGCCCCCACGCGUGCACCACGGUCUGCGGUGCCCACAGACUCCGGAAGAUGAUGGCGGAGGCCACUGCAGGCACGUUUGCAUGGUGCAAAGACACUGACCAUUUGAUUCCAGCCAAACUUUGUUUCCUCAAAGCUGAUCUGGGGAUCAAGUUCCAGAUUCCAGCGUUCAGUACAUCUUCAGUAACAGGAAGUCUUCUGUCCCCCCUACUUGCUAGGUAUGCAUUUCUUGAGGUGGAAGAAAUUAGAGAUGUCAACAAUUGUUAACUCACGAUGGUUUUCUUUACAAUUUGCCCACAGAUGUGUCAGCGCCAUCCCUACCGGCCAGUCCUUGCACCUUUGAGACCAAGAGAGAUUCAUGGAUGAUUUAGAAAUAAUAAGAAAUGCUGAUGUGCAGAAAAGUC